CCUUGAUUAGGCCUCAAAGCAAGAAGUCCCUAGCUGCCACAUUUCAUCCAGACAAGCCAAACCUUCCAUCUGCGCUCCCAAAGCUUCUGCCUGAAAUCUUGCCCACUGGAAAUGAGAAAGCGUAUCAGCAAUUACGUUUAGGAAACCAGGCACAUGACGUGCACGAAAAACAACAUUAAAAUGCAUGCAACUCAAAACAGAAUACCGAAGCAGUCGUACAACCGGGACAGAAGAAG